AGUCGAGCGAGGUCCAUCCGGUGGCACACUGGGGAAGACCUAGCGGCGAACGGGUGAGUAACACGUGAGGAACCUGUCCCGAAGACCGGGAUAACACCGGGAAACCGGUGCUAAUACCGGAUACCCUUCGCUGGUCGCAUGGCCUAAGAAGGAAAUGGAUUCCGCUUCGGGAGGGUCUCGCGGGCUAUCAGCUUGUUGGUGGGGUAACGGCCUACCAAGGCGACGACGGCUAGCUGGUCUGAGAGGACGACCAGCCACACUGGAACUGAGACACGGCCCAGACUCCUACGGGAGGCAGCAGUGGGGAAUCUUGCGCAAUGGGCGAAAGUCUGACGCAGCAACGCCGCGGGGGGGAUGAAGGCCUUCGGGUUGUAAACCCCUUUCAGCAGGGACGAAACUGACGGUACCUGCAGAAGAAGCCCCGGCCAACUAUGUGCCAGCAGCCGCGGUAAUACGUAGGGGGCAAGCGUUGUCCGGAAUUAUUGGGCGUAAAGAGCUCGUAGGCGGCUUGGCAAGUCGGGUGUGAAACCUCCAGGCUCAACCUGGAGACGCCACUCGAGACUGCUAUGGCUAGAGUCCGGUAGGGGACCACGGAAUUCCUGGUGUAGCGGUGAAAUGCGCAGAUAUCAGGAGGAACACCGGUGGCGAAGGCGGUGGUCUGGGCCGGCACUGACGCUGAGGAGCGAAAGCGUGGGUAGCAAACAGGAUUAGAUACCCUGGUAGUCCACGCCGUANACGUUGGGCACUAGGUGUGGGGCCUUAUCAACGGGCUCCGUGCCGUAGCUAACGCAUUAAGUGCCCCGC
rnacentral:rRNA from 1 species